rnacentral:siRNA from 1 species
AACCCCUUUAAAAAUCUCUUGUA